rnacentral:rRNA from 1 species
ACGGAAGGCAGCAGUGGGGAAUAUUGCACAAUGGGCGAAAGCCUGAUGCAGCGACGCCGCGUGAGUGAAGAAGUAUCUCGGUAUGUAAAGCUCUAUCAGCAGGGAAGAAAAUGACGGUACCUGACUAAGAAGCCCCGGCUAACUACGUGCCAGCAGCCGCGGUAAUACGUAGGGGGCAAGCGUUAUCCGGAUUUACUGGGUGUAAAGGGAGCGUAGACGGUUUGGCAAGUCUGAAGUGAAAUGCGGGGGCUCAACUCCUGAACUGCUUUGGAAACUGUCGAACUAGAGUGCAGGAGAGGUAAGUGGAAUUCCUAGUGUAGCGGUGAAAUGCUUAGAUAUUAGGAGGAACACCAGUGGCGAAGGCGGCUUACUGGACUGUAACUGACGUUGAGGCUCGAAAGCGUGGGGAGCAAACAGGAUUAGAUACCCUGGUA